rnacentral:lncRNA from 1 species
AUCCCUAGCAGCAUCAUUAAGUUGAUGGAGCUUGUUGAGAAUUGUUGGAAACGUGUAUGGGCCUUAAACCAAAAACUUCGAUAAUAUUAAGAUGCAAACAAACAACUUGUAUAUUAAUGUAACACGCAGCUACAAUACUUAUAAUUUUGCUACACACACUAGGCUUCAGCCUUACUUUUCUCUCAAAAGCUUCGGCUCAUAUAAUUUCUCUCUACAACUGCUGUUGUAGUUU